UGCCCAGACCAACAUUUCUGUCUUAAUGAUUUUAUUUGAAAUUAUCAUUGAAUUUGGACGUCACUUCUCGAUGUUUUCUUGUCCAAAUGUCUAUGAAGAGGCUUAGCCUCUAUAGUACCCUGAAAAAAAGAAUAAACAUUAAGAAAAAAGUGUAAAACAAACAAGACUAUUUCUAAAGUAUGGUUAACUUCAAUAUCAUUAUGUGUUUGCUCAUUUCAAUUUCGCUUUUUCUGUUUGAAUUGUUAUGAGAUGUUUCCGUUUAUUCAACAUCCAGAAAUUCGGUACUGAUAAAGCAAAAUAUU
rnacentral:lncRNA from 1 species